GACGAACGCUGGCGGCGUGCCUAAUACAUGCAAGUAGAACGCUGAAGGAGGAGCUUGCUUCUCUGGAUGAGUUGCGAACGGGUGAGUAACGCGUAGGUAACCUGCCUGGUAGCGGGGGAUAACUAUUGGAAACGAUAGCUAAUACCGCAUAAGAGUAGAUGUUGCAUGACAUUUGCUUAAAAGGUGCAAUUGCAUCACUACCAGAUGGACCUGCGUUGUAUUAGCUAGUUGGUGGGGUAACGGCUCACCAAGGCGACGAUACAUAGCCGACCUGAGAGGGUGAACGGCCAAACUGGGACUGAGACACGGCCCAGACUCCUACGGGAGGCAGCAGUAGGGAAUCUUCGGCAAUGGACGGAAGUCUGACCGAGCAACGCCGCGUGAGUGAAGAAGGUUUUCGGAUCGUAAAGCUCUGUUGUAAGAGAAGAACGAGUGUGAGAGUGGAAAGUUCACACUGUGACGGUAUCUUACCAGAAAGGGACGGCUAACUACGUG
rnacentral:rRNA from 1 species